rnacentral:rRNA from 1 species
GACGAACGCUGGCGGCGUGCUUAACACAUGCAAGUCGAACGGAAAGGCCCUGCUUUUGUGGGGUGCUCGAGUGGCGAACGGGUGAGUAACACGUGAGUAACCUGCCCUCGACUUUGGGAUAACUUCAGGAAACUGGGGCUAAUACCGGAUAGGAGCUCCUGCUGCAUGGUGGGGGUUGGAAAGUUUCGGCGGUUGGGGAUGGACUCGCGGCUUAUCAGCUUGUUGGUGGGGUAGUGGCUUACCAAGGCUUUGACGGGUAGCCGGCCUGAGAGGGUGACCGGGAAGGUGGGGAGUAGGAUGGGGGCAGGCAGAGUAUGGGGGGGGGGGGGGGGAAAAGGGGGAGGACGGGAGGAGGACGGAGGCGGGAGGGCAGGGGGUGGGAUGGGGGUCGGCGGUGUGAAAACCGGGUCCGCGGGGGAGGAAGGGGGAGUGAGGGUAAUGGGAAAAGAAGCGCGGAGUAACUACGUGCCGGCAGGUGGGGUAAUAGUGGGAAGAGCACAGGUCAAAAC